UACGAAGGUCCCGAGCGUUGUUCGGAAUCACUGGGCGUAAAGGGAGCGUAGGCGGCGCGGUAAGUCAGAUGUGAAAUCCCGGGGCUCAACCCCGGAACUGCAUCCGAUACUGCCGUGCUAGAGGAUUGGAGAGGUAGCUGGAAUUCUUGGUGUAGCAGUGAAAUGCGUAGAGAUCAAGAGGAACACUCGUGGCGAAAGCGAGCUACUGGACAAUAUCUGACGCUGAGGCUCGAAGGCCAGGGUAGCGAAAGGG
rnacentral:rRNA from 1 species